rnacentral:lncRNA from 1 species
UGAAGUAGCUUUGUGUUAUAAGAGAACCAGUAUAAAAUUUUGUGUGUCCUUAUUUUGAAAAAGCGUUUAUUUUCCAAAACAAUUCAAACCCCCGUUUCUUGUUUUUCUCAUCUUCAGUAAGUACAGUUAAUACCACUCAUGUUGAGGAUGUUGUUUUUGAACAUGCUGAAACCACCAUCGAUCCACAUGUUGAACCAUCUGGUAAAAAAUAUAUCGAAACCCCUACUGAACCAACUUCUAAACCAAUUGGUGAACC